UAUCACAAUUUACCCCUAAAUUUUCAAGCUUAUGCAGUAUUUACUUCAUGGUGUAUAUAUCAUGUUCAAUACCUAUUGCUUUUAUCAUGGCUGAAAUGUUGAGAUCUUGAGAUUUUAAUUACUUUUGUAAAGCAUUUAAGCAUUUUUUGCUUUUGUUCCUUAUGACAAUGGUUCAAAAUAUCAGUUGGUUUACCUUCUCUUAAUUUAAUGGUAACAUGGUUUGGAACAGUUGGCAUGAUGUGGAUGUGGAGGUGCGACUGGUGCAACUGCUCCUACCUGAGUCCCGAACUCUUGACCAUCAUCCAUGGGGCUCCUAGUCGAUACACUUCGCAUGGAUUGCAGUCCAGUUUUUACCCAGCUUCUAGCUCUUAUGGCUACUCUCUCUCUUUCUCUCUAUCUCUCUCUCUCCCUCUGUUCGUUUUUUGUUUCUGUUUCGAUGGGUCCCUUGUUUCUACUCUGGUUCUAUGUGUAUUAAUGCAUAUUGUUUGUUGAUGGGUGAUUGGUCUCUCUCUCUCUCUAUAUAUAUAUCUCUCUGUCUCUAUAUCUCUCUCUCCUGUUUGCUUUUUGUUUUGUUUUGAUGGGUUCCCUGUUUCUACUUUGUUUCUGUGUAUUAAUGCAUACUGGUUGUUGAUGGGUGAUCUCUCUCUCUCUCUCCCUUUGUUCCUUGUUUUUUGAUGAGAUGCUCUGUCUUUGUAUAGUUCUUACUUCUAAGUUAUCUGAAAUGAAUAAUGUGAAGGCUAAUAAAUCUGCACACAAAGAGUACGUUCGUGACUUGAGUUUCUCAUGGACGGACCUGAAGUUUUGCUCUUGCUCGGAUGAUGAUACUAUUAAAGUAUGGGACUUUGCUCGAUGCCAAGAAAAGCGGAGCUGGAAAUUGUACCUUACUUAUCGAGUUGGCUUUGGAGAACCUGUAAUUUUCUCUGUUUAACGUACUAAAUUUUGGGAAUGGGGUUGAGGUUGUGGUAGUAACACCAGUUGAGCCUCCUCAGCUACUGGUUUAGGUUUUUAUUCCCACUAACGCAUUUGAAAAUUGCUAAUUAUUUCUAAAAAUGGGUAGGGGCCUGUAUUUUCUGUGUUUAACAUAUUAGUACAGCGCCGUGCAAAGCAUGGCAUGUACCAAGAUCAAUGAACUAUGGAAAAAUGUUCAAAUCCAAGCAAUUUGUAGUAAAAUUUGAAAAAUAAUAUGAACUAAUGCAGUAGCUUUUUGGUAGAGAAAACUUUCAUUGUUAAGGAGAUUAUAUUCAUUGUUGAAGCUGAUAUAGUAAGCAUCAAUAUACAAAUAGAUCAGGCUUCUGAUGAAUUAAAAUAAACUCCUGGAACUCUGAAGUCUGAAGCUUUUAAAGAUAAAUCUAGAGGAAAAGGUAGUCUAAUCGAAGUACUCUAUAGAAAAAAGUAAAGAACAAAAAAACAAAGAAAAACUAAAAAAUGGUCAAAUUAAUAGAAACAAAACGUGCAUUACCAGUGAGGUCGUUUGCAUACUCAUUGUUAAACUUGCCAAGAUGUACAUACAAAUUGAUUAUUUCAUGUAACUAUUAGAUUCUUGUUAUCAUGUGCUAUAGAUAUCCCAUUUGGGGAUUCCUUUGUGUGUGUGUGUAACUGGACUCUACUUCUAUGUGUUGGGUAUCUAUAUCCUAUAUGCUCUGUCAUAUUAGGUUUCUCAUAUCUAACCCUUAACAGUGGCUUUAUAUAUGAUAAUAGAUAAAAUAAUAAAGGGAUUGUGGCAAAUAAUACAAUUGAGACCACUGGAUGUACUUAAUCCCCUGGACUAUGUAGUUCAAUAAGACACUUUUACUAAGCACAAUCAACUGACUAAUAAGCCUUUGUAAUGGGCUCCAUCAAUUUCCUACUCUGCUUCUCAAGUAUCAAAGCUAAAUUAUAUCCAUUCAUGGAGAACAUUGGUCCGGAUUGCAAGUUUAAGCAUACCUUAUUCUGAUACAACUACCCCAGUACUUUUGUGAGCGCACAAAUGCUUCACUGGCCCUGUCAUUUCCUUCUUAACUGCUGAUCCGGUCCUUCCCCUAUUGUCUUUCUUGUAGGUACCUCUUAAUACAUUAUUUAAAUCUGCACAUCAUUCGUUAUCUCCUUGGGGCUUCACCUUAUGGACUCAGGCCCUUAUCCUUGUGAAAUACCCAAAAGCCUCCAACGAUGUAUUAAACUCUACCCAUACUCCUCCGUGAGAAUCUAUUAGCAUAUGAUUACUUCGCAUUUCGCAUUUGGUUGUUAGUUCUUUUUAUGGCUCAUUACGUAGUUAUAUGCAAUUAUUUAUCCAUUGGAACUCUUGUUUGGCCACACUAGAAAAGAUGCAUGUGAUGGGGUUUGGAGAACAUCUCUCCUCCAAUUCAAAACUACAUCUUGAUUGCUUUAGAGCUGCCCUUUAGAUUAUUUAUCUUGUUUAUAUCAUUUAUUCUAUUGAAACUCCUGCUGUUUAGUUUUCUUAUAGCUCAUUGCUUGGUUAUAUGCGAUUGUUUAUCUGUUGAAACUCCUGUUGGGCUAAUAUUCUUUCCUUGGUGAGUGUAAGAUCACUAUUAGAUUUUUUUCUCGAUUGUACUUCAUAUUAGAUUUAUUGUGUAUGCACUAAACUGUGUUUUUUACGUCUUCCAUAAUUAUUUCUUAUUUUUUGGGUCGCAGUAUUUUUUAUUUCAUUGAUACAUUUUCUCAUUUUCUUGUGCGAUCCUCAUUUUCCUUCUUUCUAUUUGUCCUUCCUUAUCAUCUUCGUUCUCCUCAAGCCGUCAUACAUUUUCUCCUUGUUCCAAACAUUCUUCUGAAACCUAAUCUAGAAAUAUGUUUACACCCUUGCUAAGAAGUUCUUUGAUAACUGCACCUGUUGCUUUGAAUUGGAAGAUGCAGGCCUUGGAUGAUACAUUUUAUUAGUUUUAUCAUGUUAAAGGGAUGAUACAUGCAAUUAUUGCAAACAAGGGAUAACCUGAGAUUCUUUUUUGUGUGUAAACUCAGACAGGUCACCUAUGGGAUGUAAAGAGUGUUGACUGGGACCCUACAAAAUCUCUGUUUGUUUCAGGUUCGGAUGUAAGAAUUGUGUUACAUAUCCUGCACUUUGCUUCAUUGCUAUGCAGUGCUGUGAUGAUGUUUUAUGUACCGGAACGGUUAUAGGUCGCAAGGAAAGCCUUGUGAAACUUUGGGAUGCAAAAUUAGGGAAAGAAUUUUGUUCGUUGUGGGUUGGAACACAUUUUCACUGAAAGAUGAGAUUUGCUUCCAUGAAAAUUUAAUGAUUCACUUCCAUUUAAAUAUAAUCAAUACAACUUGGCGUUUAUAAA